rnacentral:rRNA from 1 species
UAACACAUGCAAGUCGAACGGAGUUAUAUUGUAGCUUGCUAUGGUAUAACUUAGUGGCAGACGGGUGAGUAAUGUAUAGGAAUCUACCUAGUAGUACGGAAUAAUUGUUGGAAACGGCAACUAAUACCGUAUACGCCCUACGGGGGAAAAAUUUAUUGCUAUUAGAUGAGCCUAUAAUAGAUUAGUUAGUUGGUGAGGUAAAGGCUUACCAAGACAAUGAUCUAUAGCUGAUCUGAGAGGAUGAUCAGCCACACUGGAACUGAGAUACGGUCCAGACUCCUACGGGAGGCAGCAGUGGGGAAUAUUGGACAAUGGGCGAAAGCCUGAUCCAGCCAUGCCGCAUGAGUGAAGAAGGCCUUCGGGUUGUAAAGCUCUUUUAGUGAGGAAGAUAAUGACGGUACUCUCAGAAGAAGUCCUGGCUAACUCCGUGCCAGCAGCCGCGGUAAUACGGAGAGGGCUAGCGUUAUUCGGAAUCAUUGGGCGUAAAGGGCGCGUAGGCGGGUUAGUAAGUUAAAAGUGAAAUCCCAAGGCUCAACCUUGGAACUGCUUUUAAAACUGCUAGUCUAGAGAUUGAAAGAGGAUAGAGGAAUUCCUAGUGUAGAGGUGAAAUUCGUAAAUAUUAGGAGGAAUACCAGUGGCGAAGGCGUCUAUCUGGUUCAAAUCUGACGCUGAGGCGCGAAGGCGUGGGGAGCAAACAGGAUUAGAUACCCUGGUAGUCCACGCUGUAAACGAUGAAUGUUAAAUAUGGGAAGUUUACUUUCUGUAUUAUAGCUAACGCGUUAAACAUUCCGCCUGGGGACUACGGUCGCAAGAUUAAAACUCAAAGGAAUUGACGGGGACCCGCACAAGCGGUGGAGCAUGUGGUUUAAUUCGAUGCAACGCGAAAAACCUUACCACUUCUUGACAUGGAAAUUAUACCUAUUCGAAGGGAUAGG